rnacentral:rRNA from 1 species
UGUCUUCUAAAUAAAGACUAGUAUGAACGGCUAAAUGAGGGCAAACCUGUCUCUUACGACUAAUCAGUGAAAUUGAUCUUCCAGUGCAAAAGCUGGAAUACUCACAUAAGACGAGAAGACCCUGUGGAGCUUAAAACAAACCACUAACACCAUAACACUAGUGUAAUGUCUUAAGUUGGGGCGACUUCGGAACAAAGCGAAACUUCCGAGCACGGAACCACCCCUUCCAACCAAGGCCUACAAGCCAAAACAAAGCCGACCCGGCCACGCCGAAAAACGAACCAAGUUACCCCAGGGAUAACAGCGCUAUCUUCUUCAAGAGUCCAUAUCGACAAGAAGGUUUACGACCUCGAUGUUGGAUCAGGACACCCAAAUGGUGCAGCCGCUAUUAAAGGUUCGUUUGUUCAACGAUUAACAGU